rnacentral:tRNA from 1 species
GGAAAGGUGCUCGAGUGGUUGAAGAGGCACGCCUGGAAAGCGUGUAAACGCCUAAAGUGUUUCACGAGUUCGAAUCUCGUCCUUUCCG